rnacentral:lncRNA from 1 species
AUUCUUGUUUUGCUGCCGCUGGGUUUUUCCCUAAGCAGAACAGGUUUUUCUCAGGCCAGCCAGGCUGCCAUGAACUUCUGGUCCCUUCAAGCAGUAAACACCACCAGCCACGGGUUUCAAUCUGCACUCUGGCGCCUCUUCCUCGUUUUCUUUCAAACUGCGGGUUUGAAAAAUUGGAACGCUCGGACUGGAGAGGAGGCUCGGAAUUAAGAGCACUCGCUGCUCUUGCAAAGAACUCGAUCCUGGGAUGUGCUGAGAUCUCCACUGGUGCCUACAAAGAAACACAAAUUCAUCAUAUCACAGUUGCAGCUGGCUUACAAAACCAGAGAUGCUGUUUCUCCAUCUUCUAAGGACCCCUAUGCUCAAGCCUCUUUUGAAGACCUCCCCUGUGUCCCAUCCUUCCGGGCUGUCCUCCUGAACUCUGUACUGAGUGUUGUUGGUCAACUGGAUUUCUGCUGUCCUCUCAGGAUGUGUGGAUAACUGAAGGGGAGCCCAGCUCAGGCUUGAGUUCAGAAAAUCUUUCCAGGACUCUAAUCACCUAGGAUUUCAUUUCAUCAAAGGCAUGUUCUCAUCUGUCAGCCCAUUGUCCAAGCCCACCCUUCCAGUUCCUGUAAGUUACCUUUGGGCAAAAUAAAGAUAACAUUUAUUAA